UGACAGCACCAUGCCCACCAACAGUUCUUUAUCCAACAACUGGAGGCAAUAUCCAUAGUUUUAGAGCUCUAACUCCUUGUGCCAUCUUUGACAUCCUUGCGCCGCCUUACUCCUCUGAAGAUGGACGGCACUGCACGUAUUUCCGAAAGUCCUCAAGAAAAGAUCUGCCUGGUUAUCUUGAGUUUGAAGGAGUUACAGAGCCACAAGUGACUUGGUUAGAAGAGUUUCAACCUCCCGACAACUUUGUGAUUCGCAGAGGGCUGUACAAGGGCCCUGUUAUUAGAACUUGAGAAUUCUUGUUUUUUGUUUAUACAUUUUUAGUUAAAUUUGCGUUUUUCAUGAUAGGAAACAUUGAGGGUGAACUUUGGCAAUAAUUUAUUUUUGGCUUAUGUAAGUUGCGCAUUUGGCUUGUACAUAAUAAUACACCAAUGUAGUCUGAUUUACUGACCUCACAUUAAACUAGUAGGGCAGUCAUUGGAAGUUGGAAGAAAGAAAUCAUGGCCAAUCACAUUCGCGUUGGCAUUUUGUU